rnacentral:rRNA from 1 species
UACGGGGGGAGCAAGCGUUGUUCGGAUUUACUGGGCGUAAAGGGCGCGUAGGCGGCGUGACAAGUCACUUGUGAAAUCUCCGGGCUUAACUCGGAACGGUCAAGUGAUACUGUCGUGCUAGAGUACAGAAGGGGCAACUGGAAUUCUCGGUGUAGCGGUGAAAUGCGUAGAUAUCGAGAGGAACACCUGCGGCGAAGGCGGGUUGCUGGGCUGAUACUGACGCUGAGGAGCGAAAGCGUGGGGAGCGAACAGG